AAAAAAGUUAUUCAUGCAUGUGGUGGAUGCCUUGGGUCUUUGUGUCGAUGAAGGAAGUGCCAGACUGCUUUAAGCCUCGAGGAGCUGUCAAGAAGCGUUAUUACUCGGGGAUUUCCGAAUGGGGAAACCCUACCAAGCUGAGAGCUUGGUAACUCGUUGCUGAAGGUUUGCCGCAAGGUGAAUUAUAGGCAACGUAGAGAGAACUCUGCGAACUGAAACAACUUAGUAGCAGAAGGAAAAUAGACAAAUAUGUUAUUCCCUUAGUAGCGGCGAGCGAAAGGGGAAGAGCCCAAACCCAAGUUUUAAUUAACUUUGGGGGUUCGGAAGAUUCUAGCCGGUUUAACCGGCAGAGAGUUACAAAUCUUUUUUGUAGGAGAAUAUCCCUGGAACGGGAAGCCAUAGCGGGUAAUAGCCCCGUAUCCGAAACGAAAAAGACUCUUGGAUCUUUCCAGAGUAGCACGGGACACGUGUAACCCUGUGUGAAUGUGCGACGCCCACGUCGUAAGGCUAAAUACACAAAGACACCGAUAGUGAACUAGUACCGUGAGGGAAAGGUGAAAAGUACCCCUGGUAGGGGAGUGAAAUAGUAACUGAAACCGCAUGCAGACAAGCUGGUAAAGGUCGCUUUUGCGCAAGCAAGGGUGACUGAUACCGUGCCUAUUGAAGAAUGAGCCAACGAAUUACCUUUGCGUGCUUGCUUAAACCAUAUUAAAUGGUGUAGGCGUAGCGAAAGCAAGUUUUAAUAGAGCGUUGACACUUUAUUGUGUCAGGUACGUUAAGGUAAACCCGAAGCCAAGUGAGCUAACCAUGAGCAGGGUGAAAUCCGCCGAAGGGCGGAUGGAGGCCCGAACCGGUGUAAGUGGAAAAUUGCUCGGAUGACUUGUGGUUAGAGGUAAAACGCUUAUCGAACUUGGCGAUAGCUGGUUCUCCUCGAAAUAUAUUUGGGUAUAGCCUCGGUUAAUAUAGAUUUUGUGAGGUAGAGAUACUGAAAAGGGCUGAGGGACGCAAGUCUACUCACUCUUACCAAACUCCGAAUGCACAAAAUCGUUCACUGAGAGUCAGUAAUGCGGGGAAAUCUCGUGUUACUAAAGGGAAACAACCCAGACCAACGGAUAAGGUCCCUAAUCUUUGCUAAGUGGGGAAGGAAGUGAUGACGUUUAGACAGCUAGGAGGUUGGCUUAGAAGCAGCCAUCCUUUAAAGAAAGCGUAACAGCUCACUAGUUAAACGGCAUCGCGCCGAAGAUUUAACGGGGCUCAAGCAAAGAACCGAAUCCAUGGCUUUGUGUGGUUUACGAACCACAUAAGGGGUAGAGGAGCUUUGAUGUAAUCCACUGUAAAGUGGUGUAGCGAUGAAGGUGUACUCGUGAGGGGCACUGGAGCANNNNNNNNNNNNNNNNNNNNNNUGAGUAACGAGAGCCAGGCGAAAACCCUGGCCGCCGAAAACCUAAGGGUUCCUCCGCUAUGUCAGUCAUCGGAGGGUUAGUCGGUCCUAAGGCGAGGCCGAAAGGCGUAACUGAUGGACAGCAGGUUAAUAUUCCUGCACUGUUGUAUUACCGUUUUACCAAUGGGGGGACGGAGAAUGCUGGUUUGAGCUGAUUAAGGAUUUCAGUUCCGAAAGCAAGCCCGCUCGUGUAGGCAAAUCCGCACGAGUGUUAUGGGUCAGCCUGGGAAAAGUUUACCGCAAGGUGAGCAAUUCAAGUCAUGCAAUCUUCCAAGAAAAACCUCUAGGGAGGUAAUACAAUAUCCGUACCGCAAACCGACACAGGUAGGUGGGUAGAGAAUACUAAGGCGAACGAGAGAAUCGUGGUUGAGGAACUAGGCAAAUUACAUCCGUAACUUAGGGAAAAGGAUGCCCACCGUUAGCAAUAAUUGGUGGGGGCACAAAAAUGGUUCAAGCGACUGUUUAACAAAAACACAGGUUCCUGCUAAACUCGUAAGAGGAAGUAUAGGGGCCGACGCCUGCCCAGUGCCCGUAGGUUAAAUCCGGAGGUGACUCUGCGUAAGCAGCGAAGCUUUUGGUCUAAGCCCGGGUGAACGGCAGCAGUAACUAUAACUGUUCUAUGGUAGCGUAAUCCCUUGCCGGGUAAGUUCCGGCCUGCACGAAAGGCGUAACGACUUGAGCACUCUCUU
rnacentral:ncRNA from 1 species